UACGUAGGGUGCGAGCGUUGUCCGGAAUUAUUGGGCGUAAAGAGCUCGUAGGCGGUUUGUCACGUCUGCUGUGAAAUCCCGAGGCUCAACCUCGGGCCUGCAGUGGGUACGGGCAGACUAGAGUGCGGUAGGGGAGAUUGGAAUUCCUGGUGUAGCGGUGGAAUGCGCAGAUAUCAGGAGGAACACCGAUGGCGAAGGCAGCUCGCUGGGACGGUACUGACGCUGAGGCGCGAAAGCGUGGGGAGCAAACAGG
rnacentral:rRNA from 1 species